CCUACGGGAGGCAGCAGUGGGGAAUAUUGCACAAUGGGGGAAACCCUGAUGCAGCGACGCCGCGUGAGUGAGGAAGUAUUUCGGUAUGUAAAGCUCUAUCAGCAGGGAAGAAAAUGACGGUACCUGACUAAGAAGCCCCGGCUAACUACGUGACAGCAGCCGCGGGAAUACGUAGGGGGCCAGCGUUAUCCGGAUUUACUGGGUGUAAAGGGAGCGUAGACGGCUAAUCAAGUCAGAAGUGAAAACGCAGGGCUCAACCUUGGGACUGCUUUUGAAACUGAGUAGCUAGAGUGCAGGAGAGGUAAGCGGAAUUCCUAGUGUAGCGGUGAAAUGCGUAGAUAUUAGGAGGAACACCAGUGGCGAAGGCGGCUUACUGGACUGUAACUGACGUUGAGGCUCGAAAGCGUGGGGAGCAAACAGGAUUAGAUACCCUAGUAGUC
rnacentral:rRNA from 1 species